AUUGAACGCUGGCGGCAGGCCUAACACAUGCAAGUCGAGCGAUAGUCGGACGGGGGUGAAAAGUAUGUGGACUCCCCGCCAGAGGGGGAUAACUACUGGAAACGGUAGCUAAUACCGCAUACUAUCGGAUAACCCAUAUGGGAUUAGCUAGGGGGGGGGGUAAUGGCUCACCUAGGCGACGAUCCCUAGCUGGUCUGAGAGGAUGAUCAGCCACACUGGGACUGAGACACGGCCCAGACUCCUACGGAGGCAGCAGUGGGGAAUAUUGCACAAUGGGCGCAAGCCUGAUGCAGCCAUGCCGCGUGUAUGAAGAAGGCCCUAGGGUUGUAAAGUACUUUCAGUCGGGAGGCGUUACCGACAGAAGAAGCACCGGCUAACUCCGUGCCAGCAGCCGCGGUAAUAC
rnacentral:rRNA from 1 species